rnacentral:rRNA from 1 species
UAGUGACGGCGUAGUGAGCAGCAAUAGCUCAAAUUUGAAAUCUGGCGUCUUCGACGUCCGAGUUGUAAUUUGUAGAGGAUGCUUCUGAGUGGCCACCGACCUAAGUUCCUUGGAACAGGACGUCAUAGAGGGUGAGAAUCCCGUAUGCGGUCGGAAAGGCGCUCUAUACGUAGCUCCUUCGACGAGUCGAGUUGUUUGGGAAUGCAGCUCUAAAUGGGAGGUAAAUUUCUUCUAAAGCUAAAUAUUGGCCAGAGACCGAUAGCGCACAAGUAGAGUGAUCGAAAGAUGAAAAGCACUUUGGAAAGAGAGUUAAAAAGCACGUGAAAUUGUUAAAAGGGAAGGGAUUGCAACCAGACUUGCUCGCGGUGUUCCGCCGGUCUUCUGACCGGUCUACUCGCCGCGUUGCAGGCCAGCAUCGUCUGGUGCCGCUGGAUAAGACUUGAGGAAUGUAGCUCCCUCGGGAGUGUUAUAGCCUCUUGUGAUGCAGCGAGCGCCGGGCGAGGUCCGCGCUUCGGCUAGGAUGCUGGCGUAAUGGUCGUAAUCCGCCCGUCUUGAAACACGGACCAAGGAGUCUAACAUCUAUGCGAGUGUUCGGGUGUCAAACCCCUACGCGUAAUGAAAGUGAACGGAGGUGAGAACCGCAAGGUGCAUCAUCGUCCGAUCCUGAUGUCUUCGGAUGGAUUUGAGUAAGAGCAUAGCUGUUGGGACCCGAAAGAUGGUGAACUAUGCCUGAAUAGGGUGAAGCCAGAGGAAACUCUGGUGGAGGCCCGCAGCGGUUCUGACGUGCAAAUCGAUCGUCAAAUUUGGGUAUAGCGGCGAAAGUCUAUCG